rnacentral:lncRNA from 1 species
UAAAAACAUGUUAGGGGUAUGGGAACCAGUUAUGGAAAUGGAUAUAUUAUUGUGUUGUGUUUGUGUGGUGGCAUAUGUUGUUGUUAUUUGGUAGUUUUGAGACAUUAUUUGCUAUGUGUGACCAUGUAGGGUCGUAUGUGAUGUUGUUGGCCUUUUUGUAUGUGUAUUUGGUGGUAUCUUUCUAGUGAAAGGCCUAAAUUUAAAUUUAUGUGUUAUCAAUGGCAUAUCUUUUUGUAUAUUACUCUAUUGGCAUAUGUAUUACAUUGAAUUCAUGAAUGGUUCGUUUAUUGAGUGAAUUUUGGCUCACGCUGUUGGUAUAUAGGUUGGUUAUUAGAAUUUAUCAUUCUGGUUGGUUGUGAUCAUUCCAUCCUUAUAUUAUAUGUAAUUGUGAAACAUUGGUACCACUGUGGUAAUAUUGGAAAUACUGGCUUGUGACAUCUUUAUAGACCCUUGUCAAGGGAUGUACCAGAGAGGUCACUUAUGGAUCCUACCUGGAAGCAUAGCUCGAUAGGUGUAUAUGGAAGUUAUGCGAUAACCUCGAGCAUCAUAUUAUUAUCACAUCAUCAUUAUUAUCAUCAUUGCAUUUCAUAUAUAUUAUGCUCAUUCUGUGUUUAAUUAUUACUUUGGUGUGAUAUUUGUCAAUUUGUACUUCUUUCUUAUACUUUUAUUUGGCAAAUGUGUAUACUUGGGCUUCUUUCUCAUAUUUAUAUAUGGUAUGUUUAUAUUAUAGAACUGUUAGUGGGGACGGUGUGGGCUAUCAUUUAGGAUAUUUUUUAUUUAAGGUGAUGUGCCCAUAUUGUGUGUUUUAUAUGCUUUACUUUUUACUUCCUAUUUUGCUUAGUUGGCCUAUGAUACAUACUGAGUACAAGUGGAAUGUGCUCACCCCAACUGUAUCGAUGCAAAUUCAGGUAUGAAUGUACUACACGAUAGCUGAUUCAGGUGGUAUUUAGAUUAUAUUUAAGGUAGUGGUUGAUCUAUGCUUUUGAAGUUGAUCCAAUACCUCUUCUUAUUUCGAUCAUGCCUUAUUUGUAUUCAGAGAUAGAUUUUGAUAUUUGUGGACUAUUACUGUAUCUUUUGACAUUCGAGAUAUAUUUAGUAGUUCUUACAAUGUUACACUAGUUUUUGAAAAAUUUUAUGGUAUCUUUGGUUAUGUAUUUCCGCUUUUACUAUAUAUGUGUAGUUCGACUUUUUUCUAGAAGUCCUACCUCAGUUUUUGGUGUUGAUUUCUCAUUUCAUAUCAGUUUGGGUGAUGGGCUUACUUGUCAAGGCUUGUCGUGACAAGUGUCAUCCACUACUAAAAAAAUUAAAAAACCGACCACAAAAAAUCGACCACAAACUGUGCUCGGUUUUUUAAUUUUUUUUAAAAAAAAAUUAUUUAAAAAAGUAACCACAUCUUUUAUUUUUAAAUAUCAAAAUAAAUAUUUAAAUAAUUUUUAUAUUAAUUAGUAUAUAUUUUAAAAAUAAAAUUUAAAAGAAAAUACCAAAACCGACCACUUGUGGUCGGUUUUAGUGAAAAAAAAAUAACUAAAAAAUGUUUUUAAAAACCAAACACUUGUGGUCAAUUUUAAAUUAAAUAAAAAGAAAAUAAUUUUUAAAAAGAGACCACAUGUGGUCAUUUUUAAUUUAAAUAAUAUUAAUAAAUAUUUUUAAAAAACAACCAUAUGUGGUUGGUUUUGGAAUAAAAAAUUUUAAAAAAACCAAAAUUUAAAAAAAAAGUAAAUAAUUAUUUUUAAAAAAUAAUUAUAUAAUAUUAUAUUAACUUUAUGUAAUCUAAUUAUUUUUAUUAGUAAAAAUAAUAUAUUAGAUUACAUAUAUAAUAUAAUAUAUUUACUGAAUUAAAAGAUAAUCUAAUAUAUACUUUUUAAAAAUUAUACUGAUUACACGUAGUCAAUAACCAAUAUAAUAAUAAUAAAAAUCAAUCAAUCUAACGUGAAAAAACUUACACUAAAAAAUAUAUUAAAUAUAAUAUACAAAUUACGUACAACAUAAUCUUUAUCUUUUUUACUUAUGUUUCAAUAUAUAAAAUAAAUAUUUUCCUUUAUACAUAUGUUAAAUGACGUUAAACAUACAUAAUCUUUAUAUAAUGAAUAUGUAUAUAUAUAUAUAUAUCAUACCAUUGGGAUAGACCAUUGAAAACUGUUGUAUACAUAUUUGAAAGCUGAAAACGGAUGUUUAUAGUAUGUAUUUGAAAGGUGGUGUUUAUGUACGUAUUUGCAGUCAUAAUAAUGUAAUAUAUAACCGAUAAUUCAUCAUAAUAUAAUGAACUUGUUAUAUUAUAUGGUAAUUAUACUUGUGGAUGUGAUAUAUAUAGUACGAAUUGAAGAGUUUAUCUCUCUCUCUCUCUCUCUAUCUAUCUAUCUCUCUAUCUAUCUAUCUAUAUAUAUAUAUAUAUAUAUAUAUAUAUAUAUAUAUAUAUAUUUAGAUAUUUAUAUAUGAUGUAGUGAUUCAUUGAUGAACGAUGUAUUCAAAACCUAGUUUAUUAAGCUAAUCAAAUAUAAUUAAUCUAUCACUCAUCUAAGUAUGUAUAAGAAACACAUCGCAUUAUUUUGUUGGAUAAUAAUAUACUUGUGUACUUAUGUGUGAGAUAUAUAUAGUACGUAUUUAGAACUUGAUAUAGUUGAUAGUGUGUAUAUGUGAGUGUAUGUAUAGAGAUAUAGAUAUAUAUAGUAUAUACAUAAUAUACAUUAAUGAUACAAGAUAAUGUAAUCUAUAAUUCAUCCAAGUAUUUGUGAAAUACGUUGUAUAUUAUUAUGGGGUAGUAAAAUCGUGUAUGUGAUGUUUAUAGUACGUAUUUUAAAGCUGGUAGAUAAUUGAAUAUACAUAUAUAUACGUAUAUAUCGUAUAGUGACGUAUGUAGUAAUCGAAAGCUAGAAAACUGAAUGUAUAUAUCAAAAUAGUUUGAAUGAUACGUUGAUAUAUAUCAAACUAUUGAGGAAGUAGAUAUACUAUUUUGGGUCUAUGUAGACACGCGUAUAUUUUUGAAGUUGUAAUAACGUAAGACUAGUAUUACGAGGUAUAUAAGAGGGGGAGGAAGGAAGUAGGGGAGCGGGAUACAGAAAGUUAAACGACCGCAAAUUAAUGUAACACAAAUAAUCGAUAAUUUAUUUUAUUAACACGUUGUUUUACGAGCGAGACAUAUAUAUAUAUAUAUAUAUAUAUAUAUAUCAAUGAAUUUUACAAAUUUUGAUAAAUUUUUGGUUAAUUAGCUUUUAAUUAUGAUAUUCUAUAUAUAUAAUAUCGUAAUUCAAAAAAUUCAUUGAUAUUAUUAUAUUAUUAAGGAAAUAUACUACUCCUACUAAUGUGUUGAUAAAAUAACCAACUAUCUGAUUUGUACAUAUAUGCAUUGCGUUAAUAUGAUGAUAACAUAACUAAUUAUAUGAUUUAAUCUUUUCAUUAAAAUUGAUUUUUUUUUAAUAUUUUAUGAAAACCGACCAUUUGUGGUUGGUUUUCAUAAAAUAUUAAAAAAUUAAUUAUUUAAAACCCCAAUCCCGACCCGACCCAUCCUUUUUUUACUCCCCUACUAAAAUCCCCAAAUCAGAACCCCCCCUCUUCGAAAAUAAAUAAACACGCACACAAAUUCUCCAAAUCAAAGCCAUACUCUAAAUCCUUAAAUCUACCACCGUCUGCCACCGUUUCCCGCAGCCCCCAGCUCCGGUAAGUUCCAAAAACUUCAAAUCUAUGUUUUUCUUGUUAGAUACUAGCUAAAAGUUCAAGAAUAUAAUGUUUUAGUACUAAUUUUAGUUAGCCCAAAGUAAAAAAAUUAUUUGUUCUAAAGCAUUUGUUCUAGUUAUUAUGCUUCAUUACAUAAAUUUAGUUAGUUCAAAGUAAAAAAAAGUAAUGGAAAUUUCUAUUUAGUUAGUUCAAGAUUCAAUUUUAGUUAGUUCAAAGUAAAGAUCCAAUUUUAGUUAGUUCAAUUUUAGGAAAUUUUCAUUUAGUUAGUUCAAGAUUCCAUUUAGUUACAUAAUUUUAGUUUGUUCUAUGUGUGUAUUUUGUCAAGUGAAGCUUAUCAAGAUUCCCUCUUUGUGUGUUUACCAAGUAAAUUAAGGUUUACUUUUAUUCAUAUUCCAUUGUAGUUUUAGUAUGUUGGUGGUUUGUUUAUGGUGAUUUUAAGCUAAAAAUAUGAGGAAAUAAGGAUGGCAAGAUAUUUGUUAUUUUGCAUAAUGACCAAGAUUUUUUAAUUCUACUUGCCUAAUGGGUUGCUUGGAAUUUGAUGUUACUUGCCUAAUGUUGGUGGUUUGCUUUUUUUCUGGUGACCGCUUGUCUCUUUCACUUUAAUUUAGGCCAAGCAAGGGUAAGUUGACUUCUCUCUAAUUUGUUAUAAUGAAGUCUUGUAAUUUUUCAUAUUGAAGUCUAGUGAAGCCGUGUGUGGCCAUGUUCGAUUCACUAGUACUAUUGUUAUCUUCUUGUUAUUGUUCAUAUUGAAGUCUAGUGAAGCCGUGUGUGGCCUUGUGCCAUUCACUAGCAUUGUUGUUGAUAUCUUGUUGGUCUUGUUGUUGCUUGUUUCUUGUAUUGUGAACUUGCUCUCAUAUCAUUUGGUAUGCAAAUUUUGUGACUUAGUUACUUGAAAAUGGUUAUGUGUAGGGACUUUAAAGGUUAUUUUUUGUUUAAAUUGUUACUUAGUUGGUGACUUUGUUAGUUGAAAAUGGUUAAGUGUAGGAAAUUUAAAGGUGAUUUUCUGUUUAGAAUGUGGUUUGGUUGGUGACUUUGUUAGUUGAAAAUGGUUAAGCAUAGGAACUUUAAAGAUGAUUUUUUUCUUUAGAAUGUGACUUGAUUGGUGACUUUGUUAGUUGAAAAUGGUUUAAUGAUUUUUUUUUUUUACAAUGUGACUUGGUUGGUGACUUAGUUACUUGAAAAUGGUUAAGUAUAGGGAAUUUAAACAUGAUUUUUUUAUUUAGAAUGUGACUUGGUUGGUGACUUUGUUGGUUGAAAAUGGUUACAUGUAGGGAAUUUAAAGAUAAUUUUUUUGUUUAGAAUGUGACUUGGUUGGUGACUUUGGUGGUUGAAAAGGUUAAGUGUAGGGACUUUAAAAGGGAUUUUUUUGUUUUGAAUGUGCUUUGGUCGGUGAAUUAGUUGCUUGAAAAUGGUUAAGUGUAGAGAAUUUAAAGAUGAUUUUUUUGUUUAGAAUGUGACUUGGUUGGUGACUUUGGUGGUUGAAAAGGUUAAGUGUAGGGACUUUAAAAGGGAUUUUUUUGUUUUGAAUGUGCUUUGGUCGGUGAAUUAGUUGCUUGAAAAUGGUUAAGUGUAGAGAAUUUAAAGAUGAUUUUUUUGUUUAGAAUGUGACUUGGUUGAUGACUUAGUUGGUUGAAAAUGGUUAAGUAUAGGGAACUUAAAGAUGAAUUUUUUGUUUAGAAUGUGACUUGGUUGGUGACUUUGGUGGUUGAAAAGGUUAAGUGUAGGGACUUUAAAAGGGAUUUUUUUGUUUUGAAUGUGCUUUGGUCGGUGAAUUAGUUGCUUGAAAAUGGUUAAGUGUAGAGAAUUUAAAGAUGAUUUUUUUGUUUAGAAUGUGACUUGGUUGAUGACUUAGUUGGUUGAAAAUGGUUAAGUAUAGGGAACUUAAAGAUGAAUUUUUUGUUUAGAAUGUGACUUGGUUGGUGACUUAGUUACUUGAAAAUGGUUAAGUGUAAGGAAUUUAAAGAUGAUUUUUUUAUUUAGAAUGUGACUUGGUUGGUGACUUAGUUACUUGAAAAUGGUUAAGUGUAAGGAAUUUAAAGAUGAUUUUUUUAUUUAGAAUGUGACUUGGUUGGUGACUUAGUUACUUGAAAAUGGUUAAGUGUAAGGAAUUUAAAGAUGAUUUUUUUAUUUAGAAUGUGACUUGGUUGGUGACUUUGUUGGUUGAAAAUGGUUAAGUGUAGGAAAUUUAAAGAUCAUUUUUUUGUUUAGAAUGUGACCUGAUUGGUGACUUAGUUGGUUGAAAAUGGUUAAGUAUAGUGAAUUUAAAGAUGAAUUUUUUGUUUAGAAUGUGACUUGGUUGGUGACUUUAUUGGUUGAAAAUGGUUAAGUGUAGGGACUUUAAAAUGGAUUUUUUUGUUUUGAAUGUUCUUUGGUCGGUGAAUUAGUUGCUUGAAAAUAUUUAAGGUGACUUCAUUAAAUUUUUGUGACUUGAUCUAAUUAGUUGAAUCGGAUUGAUUGCGUAGAUGGAACCUGAUUAUAGCUGGAUAUAUCAACGGAAAAAUGAUAAUAGAAUAGGUAUUAGGGAGGAAUUUGUUGAAGGUGUCAAAAGAUUUCUUAAACAUGCUAAUACACUUGAUAUUUGGACACGUUUUAAAGCUAUUCGUUGUCCUUGUGUUAGAUGUGAUGGUAUAAAUCUUGUUAGUGAAGGAGUUGUAAAGGAACAUCUUUAUAGAAAGGGGUUUCACCAGGACUUUUUAAAAUUGUGUGGUAUUCAUGGUGAUGUUCCGCAAAAUAACUAUGUUUUUGCAGAAAGUAUUAGGUCUACAGCGCAUGAUGAAUAUCAAGAUACUAGGAUGAAAGAAAUGGUGCACAAUGCUUUUGGGAUGCAACACGGGGGCGUCUUUAGGGAAAAUGUUGAAGAUGUUCCUAAUAGCGAAGCGGGCAAAUUCUAUGAACAAUUGUAUGUUGUUAGUCAUCCUUUGUUUGAUGGGUGUUCGCACUCUCAUUUGUCCGUUGCUGAUAGAUUAUUAAGUAUUAAGACUGACUGGAAUAUUGCUGAAGGAUGAAUGGACUCAAUGAUAGACCUAAUUAAAGAGUUAGUUGACCCCGGCUUGGAGGUUCCUGAUUCUUUCUAUAAGGCAAAAAAAUUGGUGUCAAAGUUAGGUCUCUCCUCGGUUAGAAUUGAUUGUUGUGAAAAUGGUUGCAUGUUAUACUUUAAGGAAGAUGCUAACCUAGAGUCCUAUAAGUUUUGUCAGCACUCUCGAUAUAAGAGUGGUUCUAUUAAAAAUCAAAUUUCUAUUAAGGUGAUCCAUUAUUUACCUCUAAUACCAAGGUUGCAGAGGUUGUAUGCUUCAAACAGCUCAGCUCCUCAUAUGAGAUGGCACAGUGAAAAUAGAAGGCCCACUGGUGUUAUGUGUCAUCCAACUGAUGGAGAGGCUUGGAAGCAUUUUGAUGUAACUUAUUCAGAUUUUGCAGCUGAGCCACGAAAUAUUCAUUUGGGAUUAUGUGCGGAUGGCCUCUCUCCUUUUUCAGUUAGUGCUGCGCCAUAUUCAUGUUGGCCUAUAUUUAUCACCCCUUAUAAUCUUCCUCCUAGAAUGUUGAUGACUAGUCCCUAUAUAUUUCUGAAUUGUGUUGUUCCUGGCUCGCGUAAUCCAAAAAGCGAAAUAGAUGUCCACUUGCAACCUUUGAUCGAUGAACUUCAAAUUUUAUAGCAUGAGGAGGUUAAAACUUGGGACAUCUCACUUAAAUAUAAUUUCAAUCUGCGUGCAUAUCUAAUGUGGACUGUUAAUGAUUUUUUUGCUUAUGGAAUGUUGUCUGGGUGGAUGACAGCUGGAAAGCUGGCUUGUCCAUACUGCAUGGAAAAAACAAAAUUUUUAACAUUGAGACAUGGAAGGAAAAAUUCAUAGUUUGAUUGUCAGCGUUGUUUCUUGCCACCUGAUCAUGAAUUUAGGAGACUCAAGAAUGAAUUCAGAAGGAAUAAAAGGGAAUAUGAUGGUCCACCUCCAAGAAAGACUGGUCAUGACAUCUGGGAGAUAGUUCAGGAUUUGCCUAAAGCUAGUGAGGAACGAUUGUACAGGUUUAAUGGAUAUGGCGUUUCGCAUAACUAGACUAAGUAAAGUAUAUUUUGGGAUUUAGAAUAUUGGCCAGAUAAUUUACUUACACAUAAUGUUGAUGUCAUGCAUACUGAGAACAACUAUUUUGACAACUUGUUCAACACAGUUAUGGAUGUCACCAGCAAAACAAAGGAUAAUCCUAAGGCCAGACUUGACUUACCAGAAUAUUACAAACACAACGAAUUACACUUACAGGAUGGGCCCAAUGGCAAUGUUCUUAAGCCUAAGGCUAGUUUUACGUUCAAGUUGGACCAAAAGUAUCAAAUAUGUGAGUGGGUCAAAAGUUUGAAGAUGCCCGAUGGAUAUGCCUCAAAUUUAGGAAAGAGGGUUGACAUGGCACAAGAAAUCUUGCAUGGAAUGAAAAGCCAUGAUUGUCAUGUUUUCAUGGAACAAUUACUUCUAAUCGCUUUUAUUGGUUUACCUAAAAAAAUAUGGAAACCAAUAGCAGAGAUCAGUUGGUUUUCCAAAGACUUAUGUCUCACCACAUUAAAAGAAGAAAAUCUGGCACGAAUGAAAAGUAAUAUUGUUGUUAUCCCCAACAAGUUGGAGAAGAUUUUCCCACCAGCGUUCUUUGACGUGAUGGAACAUCUUUCCAUUCACCUUAUGCAUGAAUCUCGGCUAGGUGGUCCAGUUCAAACUAGGUGGAUGUAUCUAUUUGAACGGUAAGCAUUUGCAACAUAUUUAAAUUCAUACAUAUCUUUUUUAAAUAUAGUAAACAUCUAACCUUAAGAUUGUACAGGGCAAUUGGAAAAUUGAAAAGGGAUCCCAAAAACAAACAUAGGGUGGAAGGCUCUAUAGUUGAGGUAUAUCUUGCAUGAGAAACUUCUCAAUUUUAUUCAUAAUAAUUUUGUGAUGAAGUCGCUUUUUCAAGAAACCGACCGAACCAUCAUCAGGACGAUAUGAAUAAUCCUCAUUUGCAACCGACAUCAAUUUUUAAUCAAUCAAGUUCUAAGGCUAAAAAGACCAUACCUCACCGGCUCACUCCCACGGAGCGCAAAUCAGCAACUUUGUAUGCCUUGAUGAAUUACUCGAAAAUUGAGCCCUUUCUGAAGUAAGGAGAUUAAAAUUUUAACAUAUCUUAUUUGUUUACUCAUUCCCUUAAAGAAACUAAUUGUGUUUCACAUGUUGGAUGUUCAGUUCAUUUAAGACUAAAUUCCACAAAAAUUAAGUGUAUGUGUCCCUUGAAAUAUGUUUUAAGAAUAAGGUUCGUAAGUGUAUUAAUAUUUCUACAAAGUUUAAAUAUUUACACAUUUCUCAAUUAAAAUAUAUAUAUGUAUAAUAUUUUUAGAUACACCAUUCACUAAAUGCAGUCGCUUAUGAUCAGCUCUUGAGAGAUAUUUCUUUGGGUCCAGUUGAAUCUAAUAUAAUGUCCCAAUACAAAGUAAAUGGGUUUAAAUUUUCCAUCGAACAACACUCCAGAACAAGGAAAAUAAACAAUAGUGGUGUUUCGGUUAAGGGUGAUGAUGAUGUUUAUUACUUUUACUACAAGAAAAACAGCCUUUAGGGAAGCGAAAUCUGGUCCCUAAAAGUCCAAUUCUGGUCGCAAAUGACCUUUUAGGAUGGGAAAAUGCUCGUCGCGGGUCGUCCUAAUAGCCUUCUUUGCUAAAGGUCAAUUGCGACAAGGUACUCUAACUGGUUGUUAAAUGUCAUUAGCAACGGUAACAUAUCCGGUCUCAAAAAUAAUUUUAGAGGUCGUAUAUGUCAUCCCAAAUAUAUGAUUUUCAUUUUUAAAAAGUAGUUAUUUUGUGGUCGCUAAAACCUUUUUGUGACGAGUAACUACCUUGUCCUAAAUUACUCUAUUUGGACAAGCAAUUAACUCGUCCUUGAUUAAUCUUUAGAGAUGAGAAACUAACCCAUCCUUGAUUAACCUUUAGAGACAAUCAACUAACUCGUCCUAAAUUAACGUUUAGACCAAACAAUAUUAUAUUUGUAUGUAUAAUUUACUACCAAUGGUAUGUCCUAAAACUUAAUAUCAUAAAAGUAUAUAUUUCAUUGUUAAAUAUAAAAUUAUUACUGAAAAUGACAAAGUAUAAUAAAUAUAAUUUUAAUAUUUGCGAAACAAUAAAAACUUAACCAAUUAACAUCCCGAGCUAGAAUAUUGUCAAUAGUUUUAAUAUUUUUUAAAUAAAAAAAUAACUUAACAAAUUAACAUCCCGAGCUAGAAUAUGAUGUCAAGCUUUACAUAAUGCUCUUAGCAAAAUAAUAAUAAGUUUGUGCAUCAUCUAAACUUACAUCUUCUCUUGUAACUUUAAUCUUUAAAAAUCUGUCAGAACAAAAUUUUGAAAAGUCAAUCCUUAAGUUAAACAACCACGACAAAGGCUCUGGCACAAUAACAUAACAUGAUAGAGCUGCAUGACAUGCUAUUCAAGUUGAUACAAGUGGAAUAAAGUGGGUAACUAUUGAUCUUUAACUUUUGUGAAGGUCUUGCUCAUUCAGGAAGGUGAAAGCAGUUUGCUGUUUUCUUAUACCACAUAUAUUCUUAAAUAAACCAGACUAAAGGUGAAAAGACCUUUAACUGAAGUUGUUUUAUUACACCACAUAUAUUUUUCUUAUAAUAAAGUAAACUAAAUCUUUCCAGAGACAUGUUUUACUAGAGAGAAAUUGAAGCAGCAAAAAAGUUCCAAAAAAACACACAAGAAGCAGCAAGUAUAAUGGCUCUACUAUACAUUAUCUCUCGAAUAAACACACAAGAAGAAGUAGUUUAUUAUUGUUACUCGUAGCAGGUAGACACACAAGAAGCAGCAAUCUACUAUUGUUACUCGCAGCAGGUAGACACAUAAUUAGCAGCAGGUAUAAUGGCUCUACUAUAGCAGUCUGCUAUUGUUACGCGCAGCAGAUAGACACACAAGAAGCAGCAGUCUACUAUUGGUACUCGCAACAAGUAGACACAUAAGAAGAAGCAGGUAUAAUGGCUCUACUAUACAUUAUCUCUCGAAUAGACACAUAAGAAGCAGCAGUGUGUUACUGAGAAAUCACUACUCAAAUCUCUACUAAAAAGAAGCAGUAGGGCAUUACUUAUAAGUUCACUGUGGCAGAGGUCCAUUGGAAAUCUCUACUCAAUUCAUCACUUGCAAAUCUCUACUCAAAUUUGUACUGAAAAAUCUGUAUUAGUGUAUUGUUACUCGUAGCAUUACUUGUACAUCCGCAUUUUCAGUCAUACAUCUCCUUUGUUUAAAAAAAUAUACUAUGUCAAGUAGCUCAUUUACUUAUAAUCCAAGCAUCACCAAGAAAUACUCAAGCCCCUCAUACCCCAAUCCCCAUACUCAAGUCCACUAAUAACAAUGCUAUACAUGAAAAUAAACGUAAAUGUAGCCUAACAUAAUUCUCCAACCAAGUUCAAUGUAUAAUCUUGACAAAAUGUAGUUAAAUAAUAACCAAGUAAAACAAUUACUUACUUGGACAGCAAAAUAAGCCAGUGUCAUUCAGUUGAAACGAGGCAGGUUGUAUGAGGGAUAUGAGAUUGUUGAGCAGCAAAAAAUUCUUACAUUUUUCUUAUUUUUUCCAUAUCAUCUUCUAAGAUUAACAAAUGAUCAUUCAAUAAUUUGUUUUCCUCAAUCAAGGAUUUAUUGUCCUCUUGAGUUGAACGUAGAGCGGACAGUAAUUCAGUCUUUGAAGAAGUGCCCCCUUUCAUAUCUUUCACCUUUACUCCACCACCAAAUAAAACUACAUGACUACAAUUUUAAGGUCCCCAAUAUUUUUCUACAAUCUCUAUGGUAGGUAGAGAUGGCUCUACUUUUAUAAUUUCUUCGAUUUGAGCCUACACGAUAGAUAAAAGGACAUUUUCAAUCAGAAUCCAUAAUAAUUUUAAGUAAUUUACAAAUUUAAUUGACCAAAAGUACAUGUUUUUCAAUUGCUUUAGGUUCAACAAGCUUGUUUCCUUUCUUACGAGUCUCAUAGAAAAUAGUCCCCAAAUCUGGAGGAUUGCCAUCUUUCCCUCCCUUUACAUCAAAGAGAACAUGUCAAAUAAUACCUCAUAAGUAUUUUCUUAUGAAAAUAAUUUUUGAUACUACCUACUAAUACAUUAGCUCUCGAAUAGGCUUGCUACCAAUAUGAUAAAGCUUUGUCAAAUUAACUCAGUUUGUUGUAUUCCUUUUGCUACUCACCUGUAUUAUUCUUAAAUAAUAAGCUUAGCAUCUAUUCAAAUGCAAAUUCUAAAAUUGAAUCAACAAAUAUAGUUUAUAGGGAAGAACUAACAGGUAAUACAGAGCAACAUAAACAUAACCAUUGAUGUUUUUAGAAAAAAGAAGCCAAUCCACACACAAUUAUAAAGAAAAUAAUAUAGUGCUAUGAAAUGGAAUACCUGAAAACUUUAGGAACAAAACUGUUCCUUAACUAACCACUCCCAAUCCUUCUUCUCUACUCUCUCUGGUUUAUAUUUAAGAGCAUGUACGAUUGAUUUAUUUUUCACAUACUUACUAUGCAAGUGUCCUCUCCAUUUUUUUCACAACUCAUCCAUCCAUCCAAAGAUAUGAUCACGAUGAUCAUUCAUAUCAUCACUCUCAAAUUUAUCCUACAAAAAUCAAUACACAACAUUAGAUAGAACAAACUAAAAAAGGUCUAAAUGCCCAUUCAUACUAUCGACUACAGUUAUUACAUCAAUAACUGCCCACAUGUGAUCUAAAUUUUGUUUCUUAAUAUCACUCCAAGAUGAUACAGCCAAUGGACAUAUGUUACUGUCAUGAAUUAUUUUUCCCAAGUGUCUUGAAAAUAAAUUGCUAUUUUUUCCAACCGUUCUAUUAGUGAAAAAGGUUACUUUUAGCUUCUGACCGAGUUCAAGUAAUGCAAUUUCCUUGCACUGUUUGCUCCCUCAAACUUUUUUUACCUUUUUAGGAUUAGAUGAUCCUACAGCUGCAUAAUUUGGUAAGAACUAUAAUAAUAAAAUUCAAUUCUUUAAAUUUAAUAAUAAAUAAAGUCUAAAUACCAUACCUAUUUCGAUAGUUUGGGAGGGUUUCAUAACUUUAUUAGGAGACGGAGGCAAAGAAAUAUUAGUUUGCGUGUUUUUUUUUCCCAAGAAUCAGAGGAUUAUUACCCAUUGAUCGCAUCCUUGAUUAGAUCCCAUACUAUUCUUAAAGCCCCUAACAAGAAGCACAAAAAUCUAGGUAUUAGAUCCCAUAUUAUUCAUAGAACCCCUUAACAAGAAAAAAAUAUUUGUAUGAUGUUUGGUUGGAAAGGAAAGAAAUAUAAGGGUUAUUUCUCUUUCCCAAGAAUCAAAGAAUUAUUUGUAUAAUGUUUGCAAGCAUAUAAUUUCUCUAUUUUUCGGGGGAGUUAGAAUGGAAAAAAAUAUAAGGGUGUUUGCAAGCAUAUAAUUUCAAACGAUUUCUCUAUUUUCCCUAAUUAUUGGAUUCUAGAUUAUGCUUAAAAAAACAAUUAAAUUUGAGCUAAAAUUAGAAUUUUGGCAGUUUUGGAAAUCGUCGAAAUCACAACAGACUUGAAAAGAAACUUACUUAUUUCAGCCUCUUUGGUUCGUUGCUUUACUUGAUUAGUUGAUGGAGAAAAUAUAGUAUCAACUUUCAUAUACGCUUUCUCAAAAACCAUGGAGUUCUUACGUAUCAUUAUUAUUCUUACGUCUUCUCCUUCUAGUCCUUUCCCAAUAGCAACUAGAGAAAGUAAAUCAUAUUACUAAUACUUCAAUUAUAAAUGCAAUCAAAAACUUACCAGACUUGAAAAAAACUUACUUGCUUCAACCUCUUUGGUUUGAUGCUUAACUUGAUUAGUUGAUGGAGAAAAUGGAGUAUCAACUUGCAUAUACUCAUUCUCACGAACCACGGAGUUCUUAAGCAUCGUUGUUCCCAUUACUUGACCAGAUGACAUGGUAGAGCUUGCAAGUCCUUUUCCUCGCUCUUUUCCAAUAGAACCUUUCAAAAUAAAUAUACAGUUGUAUGAGCUUAACAUUUUAAGUUUAAUAUGGUAUCUGCAGAAGGGACCAUAUUGUUUCACUCCUAAAAGGCAUCUUUUCUACCCUUCAUUUGAAGUCAUUAAUGUGGUUAGUACAGGUUUCAGGAAAUUUUGUUAUUGGUCUAUCAGGUUCUCUAUACUCGUGGUCUAUACAGGAAAUUUAACUUUUGUGAAAAAACUCUAGUUGAGGGUUGAAAAUACACGCAUUGUGCACCAUGAAGUGAGUGGCAUAUCCAGCUAUGAUCUUCUAAUGGGAAGCUGGGAUGUCUGGGCAGAAAAUUAUUACCCACUUGCAUUGAAAUGGGCAAAAUAAAAGGUACCAGCUGGGGCAAGUUAAUAUUAGUAGUGAUAUCAGGUAAGUUAACCUAAGUAGUGAUAUCAGUUAAUUUAUAGGUCUGGCGGUUUCCCAACCAGUGUAAACAGAUAACACAGUGAAGUACCAGAACUACCACAGACGAGCCACCUUUCAGGUUCACGACGCAGCCACAGGUGACACAAUUAUCACAACUAGUCAAACAAAAAAAGACAAAAAGUAGACUACGCCAAGAAGUAUCAACCACAACCUUCACAGAGUGUGGCAGGAACUCCACAGCAGCUACCACACCUUUCACAGACAGAAAACCCUCAAUAGAAAUUUGAUUUGAAAAACUUACUUGUUUCUUGUAAAUAUGGCUUAACCUCAUUAGUAGACAGAGGUAAUGAAGUAUUAACUGGCAUAAACUCAUUCUCCUGAACCUCGAACUUCUUACAUAUUAUCAUUUCCAUUACUUGAUUAAAACACAUGGUAGAGUUUAUAACUCCUUCUGCUAGUCCCUUUCCAAUAGCACCUGGAGAAAGAAAAUCACAUUACAAAUACUUGAGGAAUUAUAUUUUGUAUCAUAAGAAAGGACGAACAAAAAUAAGUUAGAAGAACCAGCUAUUUUUGUUGACCAAAAAUAAGCUAUGGUGUUUAAUUCAAGUUAUUUAUGCAAUUUAAAACUUUAAUAAAUUAAAAAACCUUACUUGUUUCAAAUUCUUGGAUGUAUUGCUUAACUACAUCAUUAGGUUGAUAAACUGAACUUAAUGAACUCUUAGUUAGAGUUUUUCCUUUUGUUAUCAAAGAUCUAAGCCCUCGUCCACGUCCCUUUCCAAUUGCACCAGGUGCGCAGAAAGUGUAUCUCAUAGUACUCUUAAUAGUUGAUCCAUCCUCAUUUUUCGUUUUCAUAGUGAACUUACAAGAACAGCCAAAAGUAAAAAAAUAGUGAAAUUGAACACUAAAACAACAAAGACAGCACAAAAAAUAAACCACCAUCUCAGGACAAAACUCCAGCUCAACAAGCCAAAACACUAAAUAACAAUGACAAAUAUACAAAUCGGAUUGAAAGACAUGAAUAGACUGACAAAGUGAUGUUUGAUGAUAAAAAAAAUAUUUAAAUAAAAAUUAGACUGAAAGAUGAGAAGUAUGGACUAGAAGUUUAUCUUCCUUUAUUUGCUUUCUUAAUUCUAUAUUGAUUUUUUAUUUGGAUGUCUGGGAUGACCAACAUUCAGAAUAAUUCUAUGUUUGGAUAGACAUCUCAUAUAUGAAAAGCUAAUAAUGAUGUUGGCCUUUCCAGAUGGUCUCUUCAAUUUCAUUUAUCAAACAAUUAUUUUGUAUUUGCUUAUUUGUAUACUGUUCUAGGUGUCAAUUAAGUGGUCAAUAAGUAAAGAUAAGGUUUGGAAAUUGAACAUUCCUCAUACGCACCUUGCAAAGAUGGGAUUUGGAAAUUGAACAUUCCUCAACACUCUUAAGAUUAAAGGUGUAUUAACUAGUUCUCUGUCCACACUACAAGUUACAAUUAAAACAAUGAUUUAUUUGAAUAGAUCGGAGCGCCUACUUUGGUCUUAUCUUUACAGCAAACUACACUUCUGCGAUAACGUCCAAGUUACUUUGUCUUCUAACUAAUUUAGUUGAACAUAACUUUGUCUUCUAACUAAUUCAGCGACAACAUAAGAUGAUUUAUUUAAACAGAUCAGAGCGCCUACUGGUUGUUUUCUCAUUUCCCUUUAUUAUUUUGUACAAAGGUAAGAUCAGGCCAUGUAUGUUCUGACAUAUUGCAGCACUCGGUAAUAGAAGAAGUAAUGAUACUGCCAGCGCCCAAAUCUGGCUAAGUGGUGUGCUCACUAACCACGUUACAUGCUUAGAUGAGCUUGAUUUUGUUACUAAAACUACUGAGAAUAGAAUGAUUCUUGAUGAGUUGGUCUUGAGAGUUAAGGCAGCAUUGGCGAUGCUCGCGUCUGUAACGGCUAAGAAUGUGGAAGUUUUUACACGACUUUUAGGGAGAAUGCCGUCUUAGAAAAGUUUGCGAGACACGAAACUGGUGGAGAGUUUGGGUAAGGCCAUUAAAGCAAAUACAGUGGUUGCACAGAAUGGUACUGGGGAUUAUCAAACAGUUUCUGAAGCAGUCGCCUCAUAUCAAAAUGCUGUGCACCAGAUAAAAGUAAAAUGCGGUAUAUGAUCUAUGUCAAGAAGGGGAUUUAUGAAGAGAAUGUUGAGGUUACUAUGAAGAAAAUGAACUUGAUUAUUGUUGGUGAUAGCAUGUAUUAUUCCAGCAAAAUAACUGGUGGUCUUCAUAUUGUGGAUGGAUCAACCACCUUCCGCUCUACCACCCUUGCUGCAAUUGGCCAAGGAUUUAUACUACAGGACAUAUGUAUAUAGAACAUAGCAGGAUCAGAAAAACACCAAGUUGUGGCUCUUUGAGUUGGAGCUGAUAUGUCUAUCAUAAAUCGUUGUUGUAUCGAUGCUUAUCAAGAUACCCUUUACGCACAUUCUCUAAGGUAUUUCUAUCGAGACUCCUAUGUGACAGGUACUGUCGAUUUUAUUUUUGUAAUUCAGCUGUUGUGUUCCAGAAAUACAAGCUCAUAUCUAGAAAAAAUGAAUAAAAAUUAGAAAAACAUGGUGACUGCACAAGGUAGGACAGACCCAAAUCAGCCCAUAGGGAGUUCAAUUUAAUUCUAUGACAUAAUAGCAAGUCCAGACCUUGAACUAGUUGAGAACGAAUUCAAAACGUAGCUUGGUAGACCAAGGAAAGAAUAUUCAAGAACUGUAGUUAUGCAAUCGUACCUAGGUAGUCUCAUUGAUCCAGCGGGUUGGGCUGAAUGGAAUGGAGAUUUUUCAUUGAAGACAUUGUAUUACGAUGAAUAUAUAAACAAUAGACCAGGUGAUGGCACUAGUAAGCGUGUCAACUGGCCCUACUAUCAUGUCAUUACUGAUCCUGCUGAGGCUAUGUCGUUCAUUUUGGGUGAGCUAAUUCAGGGCGGAUCAUGGCUGAGUUCUAUUGGUGUGGCAUACGUGGAAGGAUUAAAUGAGUAGGGUACUAUGAAAUUACAUUUCGUAAUGUAGAAAGACAUUUAACUAUGUAUUUUGUAUUCUAGUAUUCCUAGAAAGCUCAAAAUAAGUACUAGUAAUAUAACAAAGGGGUUGCAAUACGCAUCCCGUGUUCACGCAGGAUUGAGGAAGGGCCGCUUUCCUAAGGGGUAUGAUAUAGACAGCUUACCAUGAUGCAAACUUUAAUGACUGAUUCCAUGGCUCUAACUUGGAUCCUAUUAAGUAGUAAUAUAGUGUGCCAUAAACUAUAUUAGAUGAUUAUUUGGUUAUGCUACUUAAGUAAAUUUUCAAGUUAAAAAAGAGUCACAGAUAGAAAAUUCAAAGCCAAUUCUAGAUAUAAUGGAUUCAAGAAGCUUAAGAUUGCACAAGGUGACAAUGAUAUCGUACACAUAAACCAAAGAAGAACGCUAAGACAUCAUUUGUUUUGUAAAUAAAUAUAGAGGUAUACAACCUGGAUGAACUAAAACCAUCAACAACAAGUACCAAGUGCGAGGGCCCUGCUUAAAGCCAUAGAUUAACAUCUUUGACCGACAAAAACCUGAAGAGGGGGAAGGAAAUAAAGGGAAAAAGGUAACUUCUCGGAGCACAAUCAAGCUAAAAAUAAUAAGAAAAUAUCCAUGUUCAAAAAAAUUAUUCUGCUGCCAAAACACACAGCACUGCAAGACCAACUUCAAAUAGCAAGAGAAAUCGAUUAAAGUAACAAAGAAACAAAGAAAUUUCACCAAAUUUCCAAGCAACAAAGAAAUUUCCAGUACAUUUAAGUAAUAAAGAAAAUCAAACAUAGAACAUUUAACACAAUCUCUAGUACAAUCUAUAGAAAUUUCACCAGAUUUCUAAAAUUCGCAACCAGACAGAUAGAUUCUAAAGAUCAGAACUUCUUAUAUCACUAACCUAAGUAAUAAAGAUAAUCAAAACAAUAACUCGAUCUAUUGGAAAACAACAAAAUUUUGAAAUUAAUAUCGCAAUUCAGCAACCUAUGAAUGAAAAACAGCAACUCGAUCGAUUGAAAAGCGAGGCAUACCUGGAAUUCGUCAAUUUAGGUUAGAGCUGCGAGAGAAACUCUCUCUCAUUGAGAUUAGGUAGAGCUGAUAAGUGGAAAUUAAAAAAACAAGAAAAAUUUUGAUAUUAAUACAAAAAUCGAGUAGCCUAUGAAUGAAAAACAACAACGAUUGAUUGGAAAGUGAGGCAUACCUUGAAAUUCCUCGAUUUAGGGUAGAGCUGCGAGAAAAAUUCUCUCUCAUUGAGAUCACAAAGAGCAGAUCAAGAGUGGAAAUUGGAAGUGUGGGAGUGAUUACUAUAGCUCUAGGGUUUAAUUAGCGAUAGUUUAAUUUUAAGAAAAGGAAUGCUUUUAAAUUUUUCACUUUUAGCAAAUACAGAAUUGGCGCUUUAACUUUUGAUAAAGAAAUGGAAUUGGCGCUUUAAUUUUUGGUAAAAGAAUAAAAAAUAAAAAAAUUCCCGCUCAUGCCUUUAAUUGUAUAUUAUUUAGGACCAUAUACUAAAUUUUUUUGGGACCAUAUUUAGUAACCUUCACAAUAAAUACAUAAAUAAGGACCAAAAAAAUCUCGUCUCAAUACCUAUCUUUUAGAGGAUUAUCAACUCGUCCCAAUAUGUUGGUCAUAAAUAAAGCUUUUUCUUGUAGUGUUUGGCAUCAUACACGAGAUCUUAGAAGUAGAGUAUGUUGGUUUUCCAAUAAAAAAAAUUAUCCUCUUUCGAUGUAAGUGGUUUGAUCCAAGCACAAGAGGUACAAGAGUACAUAAGGAGCAUAACACCAUUGAAGCGAAGCACAAUAGGUCAUAUCCUAUUUAUGAUUCAUUUGUUCUAGUGCAAAAUGCUAAACAAGUGUAUUAUGCUCCUUAUCCAUUGCACAAUGACAAGUCUGAUUGGUGGGCUGUAAUCAAAACAAAGUCUAUAGGCCGGGUGGAAGUUGAGAAUGUGUUGGAGACUGCGUAUCAAAAUGAAAUAUAGAUUGAUCACCAGCCAGUGGACGUUGAAUUAGUGGACGGUUUGAAUUACCUGAAAAUAUAUUUGAAGAAGUUAAUAUUGUGAAAGAAGAGGCUGAGUACGUAGGAGAUGAGGAAACCUUCGAAGAGGGUGAAUGGUUUAGUGGAGAGUCUUCAGAAGAGGGGGAUUAGUUGUUUAGGUUGUAUUUAUUAUGUAUUGAUGUCUUUAUGCUUUGUACUAUAUAUUUACCUUUAUGUUUCUUGUUUAAGAUUAAUAUGUAAUAUACUAUUUAAGAUUGUUGUUUUCACUUUUCCAUGAUUUAUAUUGUAAUAAAAAUAUACUUGUUUAUAUCUCGUGUUGUUGGAGCGAUUUGAAAUGUGAAUUAGUAACUUGAAGUUAGUUACUUGGAAUGUUUUCUUAUAUAUUAAUUUUGUAGGAACUAACUACUUGUUAACUUAACAUAAUUUAGAUGUCAGGCAGAGGUGACAAGGGUAAGGGAAAAGUUGAUACUAUGAAACCAAAAAAAAAAGACAACCUCCGCCUUAUAGACGACCGACAGGUAUUCAUAUAUCUGAGGGUCGAUUUGCUGACGUGAUAACAUGACCCUCAUAUUCUAGGUAAUUUGAGGAUUCAAUACCUACUCCUACGAAUGUGGGGACACUUCAUGGGUCUACACCAACUCAUUCUGAUCCUAUGACCAUGCCACUGCUAGCACAGUACUAUAGGACGGCCGCUAGCCCAUCCAGACAUCUACCAUCAUCGAUACUCUCUUACAGCAGUCACGCAGCUUCGCACAGUGAUUCUGCUAGAUCUAUUGGGUUGUCGGAUCUUCAUCUUGGAGGCACUCCAUCUGGUGCUUCAGAUCCGCCCACACCAGUGUAUCCACCAUCACUUACUUGGCAGCCAAGAGAAAAAGAUGAUUCUGGGAGGAUUUAUCUUGUUCUAUUUGCGCGAGGGUAAGAUUUCUAAAUAUAAUAACGUUAUUCAUUUUUUCAUUAUUAUGUUAUUAUGCUCUAUGAAAUUACUGUUUGAUCUUGUGUUGUAGGUUUAGACCAAAUGCUGAAGUUGGAAAAAAGGCGCGAAUAUGCAUUUCUCGGCACUUCAACGGCUACUGGACCAGCUGGCAAAAGGUUCUAGAAAUUGACAGAGAAAGAAUAUUUGAAGAAUUUAAGGUAAGCAUUUAACUUAUUGAUUACUUAUUAACACUUUCUUAGAACAAAAGAUUGAAUAUUAUAUUUUUGUUGUAGAAAUUUUACUGUUGGGAUGAUGCAAAAAUAUUUCUUAUAAAGAAGAACUUUUUCAUAAGAUGUAGAGCCAGAUUUAACGGUCUCUUGGAUUAUGCCCGAUCCAAAUUGGUAAAACCUAAGAGGAUUCCUGAAGCCACAUGGCAACAGUAUCUUCGCCAUUGGAGUAGCGAAGAUUACCAAUUGUUGAGGGGAAAGGAAGAAAAGCUCAGGCAUCAUUCAAGGGUGGCUCUCUACAUACUGCAGGUGCCAGAAGUAGUCUUGCUGUGAUGGAGAAAAUGGUAUGUAACUUUUACAGUUUAAAUUGUUUGUUUCUAUUUAAAUUUUUUUUAUUAUUUGAACAUUGAUAAUUUUUUCAUAUGCAAGAAAAAGAAAAGGGUAGGGAAAUAUCAGUUGAUAAGCUAUUCGAGGAGACUCAUCUGUAAAAGAAAAAGAACCUGAUUGGUGAAGAUAUCUGGGUUGAAGCUUGUACAAAAGUUGUCCACGUAAGAAACAAAUUUUGAAUUUAUGAAUCAUUUUCUCAAAGUUGAUAUUAUUCAAUUAUAACUACUUUAAUAUUUUUUGACUUUUAGUAUUAACUUUACUUUGAAUAUAGGACGAAUAUACGCGUCUUGUUGGUGAGUAUCGUAGUAGUCAGCCUCCUGAAAGUCAGGGUGACCCAAUACCCCAACAUGUAGAGGAGGAUUUAUGGGCAAAAGUUGUGGGUCCUGCAAAUAGAGGUCAUUUCUACUAAUACCGCAAAAAAAAAUUUGGCGAUAAUAUUAGGUGUUCGUCCGGCACUGCAUACUCUAGCUCUUCAGUUGAUAGAGAAACCAUUGAAAGACUACAAAAUACGGUUUCUAAACUCACUGAAGAGCUUGCUGCAAAAGAGAGAAGUUUGCUGAACAGAGAGAGAGGCAGAAGAAGACGGAGGAGGCAACAGCAUCACAAAUCAGGAUGCUGCAGCAGCAGUUCAGCUCUUUCUUCAGACUGCGGGGGUUAUUCCUCCGUGUCCUGGUGAUGCAGUUCGGGCUGCAAAAGGUCUAGGCCCCCUGGAUGAUUUCAGCACGGAUGAGGCUAUGGAAGAUGAGGACGAAUUCGAUGGUGAUGACUUUUAGUUUUUUUUUAUUUUUGUAUGUUUUGUACUUUGAAUUUAGAUAUUUUUGUUGUUUGAAACUAUUGUUGUAGUUUUUUGCUACUCACUUUUGUUGGACAUUUUGUAUGUGUUGUACACUUUUGAAAGUAUUUACAUUUGGUUAUUUGUUGUUGUGAUUGUUGUAUUUACAUUUGGUUAUUGUUGUAUUGCGUUGUUGUUGUUGUAUGUUGUAAUUGGGUAUUGAUUUUUAUUUUUUUUAAAAUAUUCCCAGUGGUUGGUUUUUGAAAAUUUUUUUGCAAAAAACCGAUUACAAGUGGUCGAUUUAAUAUUAAAAUUAAUUAUUUAAUUUAAUAAAAAACCGACCACUUAUGGUCGAUUUUUUUUUCCUAAAAUUAUUUUCUUCAAUUUUAAUAAAAUAAUAAUGCAUUUUAAAAAUAUAUAUAUUUAAAAAAAAAAAAAACCACUUGUAGUCGGUUUUUAAAAAACUACCACUAUUUUACCGACCACACAAUUCAGUCGGCUUUGUGGUCGGAAAUUGGGGAAAACCAACACUUGUAGUCGGUUUUCUCUUUUUUUUUUUUAGUAGUGAUCAUGACUUGAUUUUUGGGUCGCGACAUCUCAUCUACAUUCAGUAUGUCUAGUUCUUUCUUGAUCUAUUCCCCUGUCACUCCGACUGUCGUCAGAGCGAUAAAGAAAAGAAAAGAGAAGGAAACUCAUCUCGAUCUGAUAGUAACAAAAUCAUUCCCAACUUAUAAUUUAUUAAUGAUGACUUCAAAAUCCAAACUUUUAAUGAUCCUGGAGCGAAGAAAGACGUGUGUGAGUUGGGUUCCUUGGUGAAGGAAAGUGAUCUAGCCUUGGUCCGAGCAGAUUACGGAUGGACACUUAAUAAGUUCUGAGUAGACGCUCUUGGUACAUCUAAAAAUAUUACAUUGACAAGACUUGGCUAUACCUUUGUUUAUAUUUAAUUUAUCUGUUCAGCAUGGAUCUCGAUAAACCUGUUGACAAUAUGAUCCACUUAUUUUGUGAUACAUCUUAAUCAUGCUUCGGCCAACUUGGCCCAAUAGUUUGGAGGAUUAUCGAUUGACAUUGUGAGCUGUCGACGGAGAUUAGAAAAGAUUUGACCUUAACACACUUGCUCUUGUUUCACUCCCCUUGCUUUGUUUAAGAAGGAAUAGUGAAGUUAGUUUUUCAUGGAAAGAAGUCAUUGUUGGAACUUAGAUGACAGCAAUGAUCAAAGCUGUACCGAUCCAUUUGUUUCAUAGCCUCUAAAAAUUUGCUAAGACCUCUUUUUCAAGCUUCUAGAGUAUGCAUCAUAAGCUAUCGCAACUCACCCCUUUUCUCUUAUUUCUAUCGAUGCCUAUCUUUUAAAACAUUGUGUAGCUUCCCAAUCCCAAUGGUAUUCAUCCAUGGGUAUUUCCUUCCUUCACCUAGUUAGGAAACAUGAUUCAUGGAUCCUAAUGAUUUUGAAUUCCUCCACUACUGCUAGUUGGUCCUGGACGCAUCUUUCCAUCCAAUUUGGUUGGAAAGCAAAGAACCAUGGCAAGUUACUAUACUCAUAGGUUGUUGUUUCAUUGGCUUAUCUUUUUCCUCAAAACAUUUUCAUACAGGCCUGACAUCUGAUUUGGUAUUUCUUUCGUCUUUGGUAAUUGUUACUAGUCUUAUAGGUCAAGAUCCCAAUGACUGACUCUAUUCUCUCAUUGACAUUGUGGUGGGUCCUACAUAUGAUACAGAGUCCCAAUAUCAUAAAGUAGAGAGAAAAUAUUUGGGUUUUUUUAUGACGAGGGCGAGAGGGUCUACCCCUACUAUUAUCACCCUGGAUGAAGGCUUUGAAAGGUCAGGGAGCGAGUCGCAGAUCCAAAGAGCAGAAACCUUCAGCACACUUUGUUCCAAGGUUGUUUUAUGAACUGGAGAAUGAUGAGUUGGCUAAUUCUCAGACCUAGGCUCUGGUGAUCCCUAUUGGGUCUAGUUCUUGCACCACUAUUAGAAUGAGAUAAAUUGUAUCUUCUUAAUUCACCCCUAGAGUCCCAGUUGAUGGCCAAGCUUCGAGGAUCUUGAAUUUGAUAGCUUGAGCUUCCCUCGGUCACGAUCCCUUGUGCCUCAUGCAGACCUUUGUGUCACAUCAAAUGGUCUUUUGACCCAAGAUAUUCAACGAUAUCGGAUGAUGGUCUUGAGGAUAAUUGAAGAGGUCCAUUUCACAUCUAGACCAGUGAAGGUAUUUAACUAUUUGAAUAUCGUGAUCUCGUCAAAGGAUUUCCAGGGGAUGGAUAUGGUAACUAUUAAGUGCUUUAUGAAUGAAUGCAUGUACGCCUCAAUUAAGGUUAGAUCCUCGCCUCUUGCAUAUUUUCCUUUAAUAUAGUUCUUGUAUUGUUGCAGAUAAUUUGUUUUUCAUCAUCACAAGCUAGCGUGUUGGCUAUAGAAGGCAUCCAACGAUUGCUAAAGGAGAGAAAAAACCUUCAUCUAAAGUGUUAUAGGUGCAAGAGAGCUUUAUCCAUUACACGAGAUCAAUCUACUUCUGAUCCGUUGAGACCCUGUAACAAUGAGUUUCUAAGCUUAAGGAGCUAAAAAUCGAGAGUAAUAUGGCCUUGAGCAAUAGGAAGGGCUACAAGGGGACGCCCAUUGGUUCAAAGAAGCAGAAACCUUAUUUUGUGUGAACAUUUUACAAGCUAACACUAUUAAGACCUUCUGACAAAACAUCUGCAACUAAAAAAGAGCAUCUACCUAGCGAGGGAAUGAUUGUGUCAUAAUGUUGAGACUUCUUUUUUCACAGAAAUGCCAAUAACGUUCUAGUAGAGAUUCAUUAUCUGAAAAAUAAAAUUAGUACCCUGACAAAUAAAGACAUGCUUAGAAGAGAAUUCUUGACGUUGAUAAAGUUCAUGAUGCCCAGACUGUACUGAUCCAGAUCUUGAAGGAUGCUAGCACAUACUGCCUUAAUCUCAACAAAGAGAGUACCAAAUAUCAAGUCUCGAUUGAUCUCAUCACUCGAUCAAAUUCUGAUAGCGAGGGAUCCGCUCCUUCUUCUAAAGAGGAAAUUUCAGCUAUUGAAAUGUCUGACGAUAACUCCAACGGUGACCCCGAUAAUUGAGAUCUAUCCUCUCGAUUUUCAAGGUUGAUAUUUUAUGUAAUCUUUGUAAAUUUACUUCUCUUGUGGAUACCUAUGAGGUCCUGUCUUUGAGGCCUCAAAUAUGGCCCUUUAUACCUUGACUAGAGAUUUUGGAUAUAUAUGGAUACUACUCCUACUUCUAAAGAGAAACUUUCAGCUGUUGAAAUGUAUGACGAUAUCUCCAACGAUGACCGCAAUAAUUGAGAUCUAUCCUCUCGAUUGUCAAGGAUGAUAUUUUAUGCAAUAUUUGUAACUUUACUUCUCUUGUAGAUACCUAUGAUCUCCUUUCUUUAAGGCCUUGAGGAUGGCCCUUUAUACCUUGACUAGAGAUUUUAGAAAUAUACAAAUAAAGCUUUCUUCUCUCCCCUCUCUUUUUUGAAGAAAAGGAACCGAAUGGUUUUUUCUUAAAACAUGAACCAUCACUUCUUAGGUAAUUUCGAGCCUAUAGCAUUCAAUCACACACAUAAUUGUACGUGGUCAUGCAAGUUAUAUAGUGGCUCUUACAAGUUGAAUAUCGAUACUACAGAGACUUUGUAUUUAACAGACAGUCUGAUUCAAGUAUUACUCUCGAAGUUAAACAAGUGUGAUUUGUAAUCAAAAAGAAUUUAAGUUUUGUUAUUAUAAACUAAGUAAUAGAAAUAACAAUGGUAUGAAAUUUGGAUUAUAAAUAAUAGAUGGAGAGUUAUAGGGUUGAGGUAUUUGCUUCAAAUUCAUGCAUAUCUAUGGUUUCUAUUCCAUGUUUGUUGAUUUAUGAGGUUGAUAGUAUAACUCGAGAAUGGUCACCCUCUAAGUCUUCUACCAAGUAAGUCUCACAACUACAUCAUUAAGCAGGGAUGUGAGUCUCUAAUUGGGAUGCACUAGUUAUCGUCUCAUUUUAUUAACCAAGUAAGGUGUUUAGGUAUAUCUAUAUGAUAACUGCAAAUCUUUCCUUAACAAAGUAAAGAUAAGAUCCACAUUUCUUAAGUUCUUCGUUCCGUACCUCCACUCUUAUGGUCAAUUUGUUUUGAGUUUUCGAUUUAUCCUAAAGUUUGCAACUCUUUAGAAUAGUCACUACUAAAAAAAUCAGUAAAACCAACCACAAGAUGUGGUCGGAAAAAAUCGACCACACGUGGUCAGUUUUUAAUUUUUUUUAAAUCGCUUUUAUAUUUUAAAAAUUUAUAAUAAUUAUUGCAAUAAUUUUAAUAAUUAUUAUUAUUUAUUUAACAAAAAAAAACCGACCACUAGUGGUCGAUUUUUUUAAAAAAAUAUAAUUAAAAAAUAUUUAUAAAAACCGACCACAAGUGGUCGGUUUUCUAAUUAAAAUAAAAAAAUAAUUUAAAAAAAUCGAUCACUUGUGAUCGGUUUAUGAAGUAAAAAAAUUAAAAAUUAAAUAAUUUUAAUUAACAACUAAUUAUAUAUAUAAUCAAAACCUAUUAUAUUAAACUAAUCAAAUAUAAUUAAUCGAUCACUAAUCUAAGUAUGUAUAAGAAACACAUCGUAUUAUAUUAUUAGAUAAUAUACUUGUAUACGUAUGUUAUGUAUAUAGUACGUAUUUUGAACUUGAUAUAGUCGAUAGUGUGUAUAUGUGUGUGUAUGUAUAUGUAUAUAUAUAAUAUAUUCAUAUUAUAUAGCGAUGGUAGAUAAAUCAACCGAUAAUUUAUUUGAGUAUAUGUGAAAUACAAUGGGGUAGUAAAAUCGGGCAUGUGAUAUAUAUAGUACGUAUAUGAAAUACGUCGCGUUAUAUUAUUGGAUAAGAUACUCGUGUACGUAUGUGAUGUAUAUAGUACAUAUUGAUAUAGUCGAUAAUGUGUAUAUAUAUAUGUGUGUGUGUAUGUAUAGGUACAUAUAUAUAUAUAGUAUAUACAUAUUAUAUAGUGAAGGUAUAUAUAUUAAUGACAUAAGAUAAACCAACCGAUAAUUCAACUGAGUUUCUGUGAAAUACAUUGUAUAUUAUUAUGGGGUAGUAAAAUCGGGUAUGUGAUAUAUAUAGUACGUAUUUGAAUGUUGAUAGCCAAUUGAAUAUAUUUAUAUAUAUCUCGUGUAAUGGUGAAAUAGAUAUACUAUUUUGUGUCAAUAUAAUGUAGACACACGUAUAUUGUUGAAAUUGUAAUAACGUAAGGCAAGUAUUACGAGGUAUCUGGGGCGGGAGGGAGGAAGUAGGGGAGGGAGACAGAAAAUUGAAUCAUGAAACUGGCAUAUACUUACCAUUUGCUUUGAAUUUUGAAUUUUGAACGAUCGCCAAAUUUUGGUGGUGAAUUUGAGUUUUUCGCUUAAAAAUUUUGUAUAUGAGUAUAUGUGAAAUACGUUGAAUAUUAUUAUGGGAUAGAAAAAUCGUGUAUGUGAUAUUUAUACUGCGUAUUUAAAUGGUGAUAGAUAAUUGAAUAUAUGUAUAUAUACAUAUAUCUCGUGUAGUGACAUAUGCAGUAAUCGAAAGCUCGAUAACUGAAUCUAUAUAUCAAAAUAUUUUGAAUAAUACAUUGAUAUCAUACUAUUGAAGAAAUAGAUAUACUAUUUUGUGUCAAUGUAGAUACGCGUAUAUUGUUGAAGUUGUAAUAACAUCAAACGUCGAUAAUUUAUCUCAUUAACACACACACAUACACACACACAUAUAUAUAUAUAAAAUAUUGUAAUUAAAAGCUAAUGAACCAAAAUUUAUCAUAAUUUGCGAAAUUCAUUGAUAUUAUAAUAGGAUGGAGGAAAUAUACUACUUGUGUUAAUGUGAUGAUAAAAUAACUAAUUAUCUAAUUUAUAUAUAUACACAUUGUAAUAAAUUAAUUGUAUAUUGUUAUAAAUAUUAUAGCAUUUAUUAAAAAAAAUAAUUAAUUUUAAUUUAUUAAUUUAUUAAUUGUAGUUUAUUAAAAUUUAAUUUAUCAAAAAUUUUGUAUUUUUGAAAACCGACCACAUGUGGUCGGUUUUCAAAAAUAUUUUUAGUAAAAUCGACCACAUGUGGUCGGUUUUACUGUUAAAUAAAAAAAAAUUAUAACCCAACCCGACCCACCCAAAUAAUUAACUUUUCCAAUUGAUAUACACAAAAAAGAGAAACAGCAUACACACAAAUACUCAACCCGCAUAUACACACAAAGACAUACUGACAAUCGAAAUCAGUCGAACAGGUGGGUUCUCGUAGCAAAUCUUGAUUUCUCCAACUCAAGUAAGUAAGAAUGUGAGAUUUGUUGACCUUAUUUUGAGUUAAUUUCACUUUAUUUUGAAUUUUGAAACCUUAGUUCUUAUGUUUUGGUUGAAAAUGAGGAAAUUGGGGAUAAAAUUGAAUGUAGUAUGGAUUGUGUGUGUUAUGUGAACUGAAAUGAGUAAUAUCUUACAUAGAGUAUAUGGGUAUUUUGGAGAAAAUUGCACUAGUCUAUCUUUUAAUUUGCUAAGCUCAUCAUUUUCGAUAUUGCAGCUUCCCGUGAGAGAAUCUAUAAGAAGAUUGAAGCUGUCAUUUUGAAAUAUCAAGAAAUUAAGAAAAAUAUCAAAGGUAUGUUGACAUAGUGAAGCCGUGUGGGGCUUUGUGCGAUUCACUAUUGUUGUUAUCUUCAUUUCAUUGUUCAUGUUGAAGUCUAGUGAAGCCGUAUGUGGCCUUGUGUGAUUCACUAGCAUUUUUCUUGACAUGUUGUUGGUUUUGUUGGUCUUGUUGACAUUUUGUUUUGAAUGUGGUUUUGUUUUGAUACUUAGUUGGUUGAAAAUGGUUAAGUUUAAGGACUUUAAAGGAAAUUUUUUGUUUUGAAUGUGGUUUUGUUUUGAUACUUAGUUGAUUGAAAAUGGUUAAGUUUGGGGACUUUAAAGGGAAAAUUUUUUAUUUUGAAUGUGGUUUUGUUUGAUGCUUAGUUGGUUGAAAAUGGUUAAGUUUAGGGACUUUAAAGGGGAUUCUUUUGUUUUAAAUGUGGUUUGGUAAGUGACUUAGUUGGUUGAAACUGGUUAAGUGUAGGGACUUUAAAGGGUAUUUUGUGUUUUGAAUGUGGUUUUGUUUUGAUACUUAGUUGAUUGAAAAUGGUUAAGUUUGGGGACUUUAAAGGGAAAAUUUUUUAUUUUGAAUGUGGUUUUGUUUUAAUACUUAGUUGGUUGAAAAUGGUUUAAGUGUAGGGACUUUAAAAGGAGAUAUUUUUGUUUUGAAUGUGGUUUGGUAAGUGACUUAGUUGGUUGAAACUGGUUAAGUGUAGGGACUUUAAAGGGUAUUUUGUGUUUUGAAUGUGGUUUUGUUUUGAUACUUAGUUGGUUUAAAAUGGUUAAGUGUAGGGACUUUAAAGGGGAUUUUUUGUUUUAAUGUGGUUUGGUAGGUGACUUAGUUGCUUGAAAAUGGUUAAGUUUAGGGACUUUAAAGGGGAUUUUGUGUUUUGAAUGUGGUUUUGUUUUGAUACUUAGUUGGUUGAAAAUGGUUAAGUGUAGGGACUUUAAAGAGGAUUUUUUUUUGUUUUGAAUGUGGUUUUAUUUUGAUACUUAGAUGGUUGAAAAUGGUUAAGUUNNNNNNNNNNGGGAAAGAGGGUCGAUUUUCUGACGUGACAGCACGACCCUCAUAUUCUAGGUCGUCUGAGGAUUCGAUACCUAUUCCUAUGCAUGUGGGGCCACUACAUGGGUCUACAUCAACUCAUUCUGCUUCUCUGAUAGUGACACCGCUAGCAUAGUACUAUCGGAUGGUCGCUGGCCCCUCCAGAUAUCUACCAUCAUCGAUACCCUCCUACAGCAGUCACACAGCUUCGCACAGUGAUUCAGCUGGAUCUAUUGGGUUGUCGGAUCUUCAGCUUGGAGGCACUCCAUCUGGUGCUUCAGACCCGCCCACGCCAGUGCAUCCACCAUCACUUACUAGGCAGCCAGGAAACAAAGAUAAUUAUGGGAGGAUUUAUCUUGUUCCAGUUGCGAAAGGGUAAGAUUUCUAAAUAUAAUAACGUUACUCAUUUUUUCAUUACUAUAUUAUUAUGCUCUAUGAAAUUACUGUUUGAUCUUGUGUUAUAGGUUUAGGCCGGAUGCUAGAGUUGGACAAAAGGCGCGAAUAUGCAUUACUCGGUACUUCAACGGCUACUGGACCAGCUGGCAAAAGGUUCCAGAACUUGACAGGGAUAAAAUGUUUGAAGAAUUUAAGGUAAGGAUUUAACUUAUCGACUACUUGUUAGCACUUUGUUAGAACAAAAGAUUGAAUAUUAUAUUUUUGUUGUAGAAAUUUUAUUGAUAGGAUGAUGCAAAUACUUUUCUUAUAAAGAAUAACUUUUUCAUUAGAUGUAGAGCCAGAUUUAACGAUCUCUUGGAUUAUGCCCGAAAGAAAUUGGUAAAACCUAAUUGGAUUCCUAAAGCUGCAUGGCAACUGUACCUUCGCCAUUAGAGUAGCGCAGAAUACCAAUUGUUGAGUGAAAAAAAAAAGCCCGGGCAUCAUUGAAGGGUGGCUCCCUACAUACUGCGGGUGCCAGAAAUACUCUUGCUGUGAAGGAAAAAAUGGUAUGUAACUUUUAUAGUUUUAAUUGUUUGUUUCUAUUUAAAUUUUUUUAAUUAUUUGAACAUUAAUAAUUUUUUCAUAUGCAGGAAAAAGAAAAGGGUAGGGAAAUACCAACUGAUCAGCUAUUCGAGCAGACUCAUCUGAAAAAAAAUCGACUGAUAAAGAUAUCUAGGUUGAAGCUCGUGCAAAAGCUGUCCACGUAAUAAAUAAAUUUUGAAUUUAUGAAUCUUUUUCUCAAAGUUGAUAUUAUUCAAUUAUAACUACUUUAAUAUUUUUUGACUUUUAGUAUUAACUUUACUUUGAAUGUAAGACGAAUAUACGCGUCUUGUUGGUGAGUAUCGUAGUAGACAGCCUCCUGAAAGUUAGGGUGACCCAAUACCACAGCAUGUACAGGAGGAGUUAUGGACAAAAGCUGCGGGUCCUGCAAAUAGAGGUCAUUUCUAUGAAUACCACACAAAAUCAUUUGGCGAUAAUGUUAGGUGUCCGUCCGGCGCUGCAUACUCUAGCUCUUCAGUUGAUAGAGAAAGCAUUGAAAGACUACAAAAUACGACUUCUCAACUCACUGAAGCUUGCUGAAUAGAGAGAGAAGUUUGCUGAACGAAGAGAGAGGCAGAAGAAGACGGAGGAUGCAACAGCAUCACAAAUCAAGAUGCUGCAGCAGCAGUUCAGCUCUUUCAUUCAGACUGCGGGGGUUAUUCCUCCGUGUCCUGGUGAUGCAGUUCGGGCUGCAAAAGAUCUAGGCCCCCUGGAUGAUUUCAGCACGGAUGAUGAUAUGGAAGACGAAGAAUUCGAUGAUGAUGAUUUUUAAUUUUUUUUAUUUUUGUAUGUGUUCUACUUUGAAUUUAGACAUUUUGUUGUUUGAAACUAUUGUUGUAGUUUUUUCAUACUAACUUUUGUUGAACAUUUUGUAUGUGUUGUACACUUUUGAAAGUAUUUACAUUUGUUUUUUGGUUGUUGCUGCUGUAUUUGAUUUGGUUACUGUUGUAUUGGAUUGUUGUUGUUGCAUGCUGUAUUUGGGUUUUGAUUUUUAUUUUUUUAAAAUUUUUCAGAAAAACCCAUCACAAGUGGUCGGUUUUUUUUUUCAGAUAACCAACCAUAAGUGGCCGAUUUUAUAUUAAAUUUAAUUAAUUAAUUUAAUAAAAAUCGACUACUUUUGGUCGGUUUUUUAAUAAAUUAAUUAAUUAAUUUAAUAGAAAACAGACCACAAGGUGGUCGGUUUAAUAUUAAAAUUAAUUAAUUUAAUAAAAAGUGGUUGAUUUUUUUUCUAAAAUUAUUUUUUUCAAUUUUAAUAAAAUAAUAAUGAAUUUUAAAACUAUAUAUAUUUUAAAAAAACCGACCACUUGUGGUCGGUUUUUAAAAAACUACCACUACUUUACCGACCACACAUUUUUUGGUCGGUUUUGUGGUCGGAAAUUGGGGAAAACCGACCACAUGUGGUCAAUUUUUGUAGUCGGUUUUCCCCUUUUUUUUAGUAGUGAGUAAAGCAAUAACACAAGAACAAUCACAUGACAUGAUAAAUAUAUAAACCAAACUAAUAAACCAUAAUUAAGCAAUCAUGUUUGCAGUCUCAACCCUAGAAAGACGAUUUUUAGCCACUCAUAAUCUAGUUCACUCUUACAAAAUUAAUGUAGUUCAUUCUAGAAUUAAGUAAUGUAAAGAAAAGAAUAAGAAUCCUAGGAUAAGCCUCCUUCGUGUUUUCACCUCUCCAAAAUCUUCUCAAGUCAUCCAAAAGAUCAUUAGAAUUGAAGUUAAGUGUCCUAUUUAUAGUGUAGGAUAAUUUGCAUUUGAUAAAAUAAAGUUCGUGCCACUUUGAAAUUGCGAAGCCUAACCUCCGUGACGCCUGAUAAAAUAGAGCACAACCUUCAUUCCACCUUGAUAAAAUGGAUCACAACCUCCAUGACACAUUGAUAUCGUGGUAGGUUACUGCCUAGCCGACUAAACUCAUUCCAACUUCUUUUUGUCUAUUUCUUGACUUCGUGGCACCUUGAUAUCACACCAAGCUACUAUUUUGGUAGUCCAAAUUCCCAAAUUCUCUCAAAUUUUAUAUUUAGCGUCAUUACAUGUUUUUGAAUGCAUUAAGUCUUUAACUCUUGAUACGUUUUUGGAUUCACUCAUAACAUUCUUUAGCUUGAGGAGUUCUACGUGCACUUCCAUAACUUUACUCUCUAAUCUUAGUUUCAUUGUUUACGUCAAGCUUACUCCUUGUUUCUUCAUCCAAUGUAGCUAUUAUGUAUCCCCAUUUAGCAUCCAAAGCAGCUCCAAUGGUCUCCUAUAAUAUUUUAUCACAAUCAUUAAACCAUACAUCACAUAAAGCUAAUCAAAACUACACUAGAACAAGAAUAGCUUUUAACUAGUUAUCUAGUUUAACCUUAUAUUACCUUGGCCAUUCUGACUCUUGUAUUGAUAUAGUUAAGCUAUAAACCACCUAAAUAUAAGGCUUAUCACACAAUCACAUGAAUAUUAAUGAAUAUGAACAUCACCACACAAAACCAUCCUUAAAAAGUCCUCAAAACUAAGCUAAAUAUGUAUUGGUAAUUACACUUAGGAUUCGUUUGAUGUGAGGUAUAAGGUAUAAUAGUUUCAAGAUAAAAUACAGAAUUAUUUUAUCUUAUGUUUGGUUGGAGGUAAUAGCUAGUCAUGUGAUUAUAUAUCCCACCAUUUAUACCUUAGUAAUGGAAUCAGUUAUCUCAUAUAUAUGGUGGGAUAACUAUCUCAGAAUUAAUUAUUCUGGGUAACUUAUUCCUAACCAAACAACACCUUGGUGUAUAAAUGCGCCUAAGAUCAGAGCUACCCUAGGCACCUCAUUUCCUGGGAAGCAUCGUAUUAUUCCCGGAUCGCAUUAACUGCAUUAUCCAUAUGGCGAGCAUCCAUGACCUUCUCUUUUCUAUGCAUUAAAUGGAAUUUGGAAUAUAGAAAUUGACCUUCCAUUUUGUGUUCCUCACCCAGCAUAGAUCCUUCUAUCUCCUUCAUGCUAUAUCUUAAUAGAAGAGAAAAAUCAUCUUUAUAGAGCUCUUUGAACUUUUCUUCUUCCACAGUUUUUGUCAUAUCCUUGUCUUUGAUUCUGAAACUAUAUAUGGAAUCUGGUUGCUAAGGUCCCCCUAUGAAGAUAAGGUAAAAACUGUGGGUGAGGCCAAGGCCGAAAGUGGUAGGAGACCUUUCACCCAACCACUCUCCUCUUCAACAGUCUUGGGAUCCAGGCUUGGCCUCUCUACACUCCACUAUUGUACUUGUUAGACGUGUCAAAGGUCAGUCCGUGGGGUUAUGCUCAUAAAACUUGUUGGUGACUUUCCAUGGGUUGUGAGUUGCAUCCAAGCUCCUUGGGCUGCUUUCGAGGAAUCCCAUCGGCCAAAGAUAGUUUGAUUGAGCUAAAUUAGAUUACUUAAGCCAGGGGAACCCCAUAUCCAGAUGCGGCCCUCGAGAAUCUUUUGAGAAAUGGGGGUUGUGGUGGGAGAGGGAGAGGUCCUACUAGUAAUAAAAAGAUUGCUUGGAGCCCAAGAAAUCACUAUGUAACUAUUGUAUUGCUUGAGUAAAAUAAAAGUCAAAAUGUCUUUAUAAAUGAGAAGGGUCGAUUAUUUAUAAGCUAUAAUGUUUAGGCAUUGGCCAUCAAGAUAAUGUUACUAGAACCCUAAAGUACUAAAGUAUAUGCCUUUGAUCCAUAUGUCCAAACAAUUGAAAUGCACUAGCUAAUAUUCCUACAUGAUUCAGAUCUUUAUGUGCUUCAUCCACGCACAUAAACAGCUUGACACUCUUGUUCCCUAUUUAUCCUUUUUUGCCUCAUCAUUCUAGAUGACAUCUCACUGGCCCUUAUCCUGAAGGAGAUGAUGUCUCUGCUAUCUUUAUCUCUGAGAUGACCUUUUGUGGAUGAGUCCUUACUGUAUCGGACUGGUGCACUAGACUCGUCGUUGGUGCCACAUGUCCCUAAGCUGAUUCUACCCCUUAUAAAUAUUUGAUCUUGAUUAGUCAUAAAUAAAAACGAUAAUAGGUACUUAUUAAACUAGUAUACAACUCUGCUAAAAUAGCUAAGUUCUUAUUCGAAAAGAUUAAAUACAUUUACUAAUCUAAUAGCCAAAUUCCAUAAUUUUGACAUUCUUGGAUUUGGAGUGGUAAAGUAGUUUCCUUGUGAUCUAUACGUCAUGAGUUCUGGUCGUGAAAAUAUUCAUUAAUGCUUGCAUUAAGGUAUAUUGUAUACAUCACACCCAAAAGGGUGCAACCAUUCCUCAAAUCCUGCAUGAAUAUGGAAUGUUUUACUCAUCGACUGCCCUUGAUAGCAAAUGUCAACUAAGAACAGUUUUAUAUAGACAAAACACUUUUUCUAUUACCCUCUCUGUUUAAAAAAGGACGACCUAUUUUUAUUUGGCACGGAGUUUAAGAAAAUAUAGAAAAUUUUUUAACUCUGUGGUAUUACAUUAAAGAUAUGUCAAAUAUACUAAAAUGUUUUUUAAUUGUGUGGCCCCAAACAUCACAUAAAAAGUUGGAAGUAAAGUAUUAUGAAAAAAAAAAAUGGAUCAUUUUUUUUUAAACAGGCUAAAAGGAAAGUAGUUAUUUUUUUUAAAUGGGGGGAGUAUAUCUUUUCUGGUUUCUUGAUUAAGGCAAGGAGAAAGGAUAAAGCUUCUAAAUAAUGCAAUAUACUUACUCAUAGUAACUUGUAUAAGAAUUACAGUUUGUUUAUAGUUAUUGUUAACUAUCAGAGACCAAGGAGCUUAAAAGAUGCUCUAAUUAAUAGGUUUUUCACUUCCCAUUUGGACUAAUAAUGGCAAGGAACACAUCAAACUUUGCUUAAGUGACAAGUUGAAUGAGUGAUGGAGAAAAGUGGAAGCAAAAAAUCAGCAAAUGUAAUAAUGGAAUGCUCUUUGUAUUUCUUAAAGGACAAAAGUUUAUGGAUUUUAAGGCCUUUGGUAGCUCAACUGUCCUAUAUGGAUUUUCCAUAUGGGUACUUAAAAUCUCUGAGAAAAUUGCUAUAUUUUUGGGUCCCCACCUACCCGUCUUCCCCCGAAAAAAGGGGAAAAAAAUCUAAGAAAAUAUCUUUGUUCACAGGGUUAUGGUUUUGGUGUACAACGCCAUAAUUUUGAGCAAGUUAUAUGAAUUUUUACUAUUUAUAUAUUUUUUUCUACUUCAUGGAAACCGGAGGAAGAUUCUAGAAUUUUUACAUUAUGAUGUAAUACUAAAAGAAGAAGAAAUGUGUCAAGUGGAGAUUGAUUUAUGUUUGACCUCUUGAUAAAUAACAGAGCUUUUAACCAAGUACACCAUCAAAUCUUAUUAUAGCAUGAGUGUCAACGUAUAAUAUUACAUCAAUUCUAUAAAUUUAUAUAUAAAAUACCUAAUUUUAUGAAAAAAGUAUCGAUUCACGCACCCUAAAAAUUCACAUAAAAUCAUUUUUUCCUGAGACCUCUAACUAAGGGUGGAGGGAUCUAAAGCCUCUCACCGACUCAUGUCACUUUAAUAAGUCUGUUUCAAUUCAAUAUUAUAUUUUUCAGCACUAUAAGUUCUCUACAUUUUCUACUGAUGCUCAUCAAUUCCAACUAAUUGGUAUCGUUUAUAUAAAUAUAUAUAUAUGUUUGUUCUAUUGUAUGAAUGGAAAGCUUCCCAUAGUCCAAAAUGCUAAUAAUAAUUUAUAUAAGUGAUGGAACACCGUAGAACUUUAGGACCAUACAUUGUUUCUUAUAGCAGCAAUUUGCCUAAGAUCAAGUGCACUGAAUUGCCAAUUUGGGAAUUUUUGUGGUGUUGUGCAUGUGGGAUGAUUUGCUUGUUCGUUUUCUCAUUUUGUUUGGUUUCUUGUUAAUAUGCUGUCAUGUUUGAAAUCAAAGGACAUCAUGAUGUCACUGGAACAAAAUUGAGCCAUGUUAGAGGGGCUCACUUUUGACUCCUUUUUCACAAGGCCCAUGCCAAUGUGAGUUUAUUUCUAUUUGGAUAUGCCCUGAAAGUAUUUCAAUUAAAGAUGUUUUUUGGGGUCGUUUUGGGGGAAAAUAACAUUGGCUACCACAAAUUUUAAAGCAUUUAAUUCGAAUACACUUUAGGCUCAAAAUAUUAACAAGUUAUAGCCGAAUCCUAAAAUCUUACCAUGGCCGAAAUACAUCUUUCACUUCGAUACAAAAAUGUCCAUCUUCGCUAGAUUAUUUUCUGCCAAAGUAAAUAAAGCAGUGGUUGACGCUUGUUUCACUUGCCAUUCAUUUUCAAAUAAAGUAUUGCAUUAUACUUUUUUGAAAGAACUCUAAGAGGAGGAGAAAGAUGGAGAAAAUACUGGUCACCAUCGGAGAAUAUAUUUUUUUGGGCCAAGAUUGUCGGUUAUUUGGUACUCCUCCAUUUAUACAUGGUGUAAUUAGUGUAUAAUAACAAUAUAACGUGUAUAAUUCGUGUGUUACAUAUGCACAAAUCUACAUUGCAUAGGCGUGAAGGAUUACAAUGGACACAACUUAUACAACAAAAUAGGCGUGAAGGAUUACAAUGGACAAUGCAAUGCAAGCUUCAUGAACACCUUGCACCUAAAGCCGAGCUAAGGAGUCAAGGGAUUUUCAUCAAGUCAUUACUUUGGAUGUGAGAGGGUGCGUGAAGUGAAGGCUUGAAGCUAAAAAAAAAAAUGCUAAAAUGGAAGUACAAGACUCCACUUGAAAGAAUACUUUGACGGGGAGAAAGAGGAUAUUUAUGCAGAAGGCUUUCUUAAAACACGUAUCAUGCCUAAAAGAGACCCUUGACUCAUUCUUGCAACAUGCAGUAGACCUAAUUUCUUCUUUUUUUUUUCUCUAUUCACAAGUAGAAGGUAAGAGUCAUGCAUGUAGUUUGUUGAUCGUGUGUUGAUCGCGCUUUCACACACUAAUCCACACAGGUGCAAUCAAUCAUCAUAUUGAUCCUUAAGUCUCAUUGUUGGAAGGGCUCGACUUCAAAACCAUGUGUGCAAUCAUCAUAUUGAUCCUUAAGCCUCAUUGUUGGAAGGGCUCGACUUCAAAACCAUGUGUGCAACUUCCACCACAUACAAGGAUCAAUCUAGACUAGUGCACCAUGUGUGCAACUUCCACCUCAUACAAGGAUCAAUCUAGACUAGUGCACCGAAGGUCAUUGUUUUCAACUUUUAAUGUUUGACAUAUAAGUAAUAACGAAAGGGACAAUUUUCAAAUUAUCUCCAAUCUAGUGGAACAAGAAAGAUGAAUGGUUUUCUCAGGUAAGCCAAUAAAAACGAGAAAAUAUAAUAGUAAGAAAAAAUCAAAAUCAAGUCGGGUUCUCUCAGGCUGAUAAACCCACUGAAUUUCUUAUAACCUCCUCUUGAUACACGUUCCACUAUCCCAAUAUGAAGCAUCGAAAGACCAUUUUCACAUGCAAAAGAGUUUACUCUCUAAUUUCAUGUUAUUUAUUAGUUAAAAGGACAACUAAAUGAAGCCACUUAUUUAUCUCAUAGUUCGCUGUCUAAAUUAGUGUACUUGAUUUUUUAACAUCUGCUUUUCUUGAUCAGGUUACAUUUGAACUUGUAAUAUGCUUUAUGCAGCUCCUACAUCUAUCCAAGUAAGAUUUCAAACAAAUAGAGCCCUUCUAAUUUCAUUCUAAAAAUUGGUAAGAGGCAAUGUAAGGCUGCAUACAAUAGACCCUCGAGGUCGGGCCCUUCCCCGAACCUGCGCAUAGCGAGAGUAUUAGUGCACCGCAUUGCCUUUCUUUGUUAACAGCAAUAUACAUUUAUCUUUUAAGGAAGCACAGAUGAUUGAUAUUCAAACAAAGUGCAUGCAGCAGACUGAAUUCUCACUAACAAUAAGUGAAAUGGGAAGUUAUGACUUACAAUACAUAUCCUCUAUUAGGCAGUCCAAACCAAAACACUGUUUUCUUUCAUCAAACAAAUAAGAACACAAAAAAUACAAAGGAAGCAAACCAUGAAUCCAUGUCCCUUCCUUAACGAUACUUCGUGACUCAAGUUACAAAAGAAUACAUUCACGAAAGCUGUUACACCGAAAGCUGUUACACCGAAACUAAAUAUGAUCAUGAGUGGUAAAACCUAUACCAGACACUAUAUACAUUCACCUUAUAAUCAAAACAGGAAGAAAGAAGGAAACAAAAAACAGAAGAUUGUUCCAAAACAUUUACUCCUCUAACCCAAAAUGCAAUUUGAGUAAGAACCUUAUUCCAACUGCUGCUUAUUGGACCACUGGAAUUCUAUUUCCAAAUUCCUUGAGGGUCCGCUUUUGCUCUCGGGCAACAAGGUGUACUCCCCAGCGACUGCACCCAGCAUAACCACACGGUCAAUCUGGAUUGUGACCUUCCCAAAUGAACUCUGUCAUUAAAGUGGAAUGAAUUUAGCAGAAGUUGAUUAGUGAUAGAAAAAUCAAGCAGCAUAUUUUAGCAAAAUAUUCACUGUGUCCCAUUACUUGUAAUACUUGUAUCCUCAUAUCACGAUUCUAAAAUUCACGUACCUUCCCCAUUUUGCUCUUAUUCUUGCAUGAAAUAUGGAGCUUCUGGCCUUUAGGAGGACUUUCAAAGGACCAUGAAAAGCUCUCAUCAAACUCUGGAUUAGGACCAGUUGAAACAACCUAAAAGAUGAGAAAAUCAAGGAAUUGUGAACCAUAUGAGGGUGUGAAGGGAGCAUCAAGAAAAGAUCUAGGCAUAUUGAUUGUACCAAAGAAGUUUUAACUUAAUUAUUUUGUUGUUGGAGAAGCACAAGUCCUGGGUACCAACAAUUGUUGAAUCAAAUAUCACCAAAAUUUCCAAUGCAUUAACUGAAGUAGACAAGUUAAACUCUCUCUACCAUGGGCCUUUCCAGUGGUGACUCAAACCCCAAUAUCAAGGUUGGAGCUGGAGCUUCCUUUAGUAAACAGAUCCAUUUGUUUUCUAGAGACAUCUUGUUCUACUUAAUUUACAAGUUUGCAAUUUAGGGUAAUUCACUCCCUCCUAACUCUAAGAGGAGGAGAAAGAUGGAGAAAAUACUGGUCACCAUCGGAGAAUAUAUUUUUUUGGGCCAAGAUUGUCGGUUAUUUGGUACUCCUCCAUUUAUACAUGGUGUAAUUAGUGUAUAAUAACAAUAUAACGUGUAUAAUUCGUGUGUUACAUAUGCACAAAUCUACAUUGCAUAGGCGUGAAGGAUUACAAUGGACACAACUUAUACAACAAAAUAGGCGUGAAGGAUUACAAUGGACAAUGCAAUGCAAGCUUCAUGAACACCUUGCACCUAAAGCCGAGCUAAGGAGUCAAGGGAUUUUCAUCAAGUCAUUACUUUGGAUGUGAGAGGGUGCGUGAAGUGAAGGCUUGAAGCUAAAAAAAAAAAUGCUAAAAUGGAAGUACAAGACUCCACUUGAAAGAAUACUUUGACGGGGAGAAAGAGGAUAUUUAUGCAGAAGGCUUUCUUAAAACACGUAUCAUGCCUAAAAGAGACCCUUGACUCAUUCUUGCAACAUGCAGUAGACCUAAUUUCUUCUUUUUUUUUUCUCUAUUCACAAGUAGAAGGUAAGAGUCAUGCAUGUAGUUUGUUGAUCGUGUGUUGAUCGCGCUUUCACACACUAAUCCACACAGGUGCAAUCAAUCAUCAUAUUGAUCCUUAAGUCUCAUUGUUGGAAGGGCUCGACUUCAAAACCAUGUGUGCAAUCAUCAUAUUGAUCCUUAAGCCUCAUUGUUGGAAGGGCUCGACUUCAAAACCAUGUGUGCACACACUAAUCCACACAGGUGCAAUCAAUCAUCAUAUUGAUCCUUAAGCCUCAUUGUUGGAAGGACUCGACUUCAAAACCAUGUGUGCAACUUCCACCACAUACAAGGAUCAAUCUAGACUAGUGCACCAUGUGUGCAACUUCCACCUCAUACAAGGAUCAAUCUAGACUAGUGCACCGAAGGUCAUUGUUUUCAACUUUUAAUGUUUGACAUAUAAGUAAUAACGAAAGGGACAAUUUUCAAAUUAUCUCCAAUCUAGUGGAACAAGAAAGAUGAAUGGUUUUCUCAGGUAAGCCAAUAAAAACGAGAAAAUAUAAUAGUAAGAAAAAAUCAAAAUCAAGUCGGGUUCUCUCAGGCUGAUAAACCCACUGAAUUUCUUAUAACCUCCUCUUGAUACACGUUCCACUAUCCCAAUAUGAAGCAUCGAAAGACCAUUUUCACAUGCAAAAGAGUUUACUCUCUAAUUUCAUGUUAUUUAUUAGUUAAAAGGACAACUAAAUGAAGCCACUUAUUUAUCUCAUAGUUCGCUGUCUAAAUUAGUGUACUUGAUUUUUUAACAUCUGCUUUUCUUGAUCAGGUUACAUUUGAACUUGUAAUAUGCUUUAUGCAGCUCCUACAUCUAUCCAAGUAAGAUUUCAAACAAAUAGAGCCCUUCUAAUUUCAUUCUAAAAAUUGGUAAGAGGCAAUGUAAGGCUGCAUACAAUAGACCCUCGAGGUCGGGCCCUUCCCCGAACCUGCGCAUAGCGAGAGUAUUAGUGCACCGCAUUGCCUUUCUUUGUUAACAGCAAUAUACAUUUAUCUUUUAAGGAAGCACAGAUGAUUGAUAUUCAAACAAAGUGCAUGCAGCAGACUGAAUUCUCACUAACAAUAAGUGAAAUGGGAAGUUAUGACUUACAAUACAUAUCCUCUAUUAGGCAGUCCAAACCAAAACACUGUUUUCUUUCAUCAAACAAAUAAGAACACAAAAAAUACAAAGGAAGCAAACCAUGAAUCCAUGUCCCUUCCUUAACGAUACUUCGUGACUCAAGUUACAAAAGAAUACAUUCACGAAAGCUGUUACACCGAAAGCUGUUACACCGAAACUAAAUAUGAUCAUGAGUGGUAAAACCUAUACCAGACACUAUAUACAUUCACCUUAUAAUCAAAACAGGAAGAAAGAAGGAAACAAAAAACAGAAGAUUGUUCCAAAACAUUUACUCCUCUAACCCAAAAUGCAAUUUGAGUAAGAACCUUAUUCCAACUGCUGCUUAUUGGACCACUGGAAUUCUAUUUCCAAAUUCCUUGAGGGUCCGCUUUUGCUCUCGGGCAACAAGGUGUACUCCCCAGCGACUGCACCCAGCAUAACCACACGGUCAAUCUGGAUUGUGACCUUCCCAAAUGAACUCUGUCAUUAAAGUGGAAUGAAUUUAGCAGAAGUUGAUUAGUGAUAGAAAAAUCAAGCAGCAUAUUUUAGCAAAAUAUUCACUGUGUCCCAUUACUUGUAAUACUUGUAUCCUCAUAUCACGAUUCUAAAAUUCACG